GAUGAACGCUGGCGGCGUGCCUAAUACAUGCAAGUCGAGCGAACGGACGAGAAGCUUGCUUCUCUGAUGUUAGCGGCGGACGGGUGAGUAACACGUGGAUAACCUACCUAUAAGACUGGGAUAACUUCGGGAAACCGGAGCUAAUACCGGAUAAUAUUUUGAACCGCAUGGUUCAAAAGUGAAAGGCGGUCUUGCUGUCACUUAUAGAUGGAUCCGCGCUGCAUUAGCUAGUUGGUAAGGUAACGGCUUACCAAGGCAACGAUGCAUCGCCGACCUGAGAGGGUGAUCGGCCACACUGGAACUGAGACACGGUCCAGACUCCUACGGGAGGCAGCAGUAGGGAAUCUUCCGCAAUGGGCGAAAGCCUGACGGAGCAACGCCGCGUGAGUGAUGAAGGUCUUCGGAUCGUAAAACUCUGUUAUUAGGGAAGAACAUAUGUGUAAGUAACUGUGCACAUCUUGACGGUACCUAAUCAGAAAGCCACGGCUAACUACGUG
rnacentral:rRNA from 1 species